GUGUGCAUGUGCCUGUGUGCAUGUACCUGUGUGUGUGUGUGUGUGUGUGUGUGUGUGUGUGUGUGUGUGUAGGAUGAUGUUUGAUACCUGAUGUUUUCUUUGGUCAGAAGCUUGAUUUGGAUAGUCGACCUAGCCAGCUUGCCUAAGGAUCUGCUGCCUAUGUCUCUCAAGGAAGUGUGAAGAUUAUGAGUGGGCUGCCAUACCCACCUAGCUUUUAAAAAAUGUGUAUAUGGCUGUCUGUCUAUAUGUAUGUAUGUAUGUAUGUAUGUAUGUAUGUAUGUAUGUAUAUACAUAGAUGUGUGCAUGCCGGGACACUUGUACAGAGGCUAGAGGACAGCUUACAGAAGUUGGUUGUCUUCUUCUACCAUAUGGGUCCCAAGGAUUGAAUUUAAGUGUCAGGCUUGGUGGCAAAGGCAUCCUUACCUGCUGAGUCAUCUUAAGAGCAGACCCCAACCUGGCUUUUACGUGGGUCCCGGGACCUGAACACCAGUCCUAGUGCUAUUGUAACAAGUGCUUCAUCUGGUGAGUGCUCUCUGUUGCCCUUCCUUCUUUAUUCAGUAAGAUAUUGUCAGUGUCUCUCAAAGCCAAAGAAUACACAUCUCUCUCAUCUCUAGAGGGUUGCUUCCUUUUCUUUGUUUUCCUUUUCUUUAUUUUUUAUAUAUUUGAAUUACAAACAAGAUUGAAUUACAUGACGAUCCCAGUGUCUUCUUUUUUAUAGACUGAUAAUCCAUCAGUUACUCAAGCAUUUACCUGUUGAGAUGACACAUCCUCUUGAGGCAUCGUUGAGUCACCCAGGCUUGAGCUCUUUCAAGGCAGAAGACAAUACUGACUUAAAACUACCAAUGGGCAUCUGGGCCUGUGGAUGGAAGGAAGUCAAGCAUGGACCAGGGACCUUUUUACUAGGGAAGAGAAUAUGCAUGGAAAAACCCAAUGGAAAGGUCAUUCUUAACUGAAAGUGAAAGAAUAAAAACAUGUUGGGAGUGUAAGGCA
rnacentral:lncRNA from 1 species